rnacentral:lncRNA from 1 species
UUGCUUGUCUUUUUCAUAUCCAGGUCUAGUUUAGGACAAAGCCCAUCUUUCCUUGGACCCCACAAGGAGAGACAGGAAAGCCGCCAAGGAGGAGCAGAAAGCUGCCAGCAGAACCCCAGCCAGGCCCCAGACCUGCGUGUCUGAGUGUUCCAACGGUUGCAGCAUAUUUGUUUUAUGCAUGAACUUGGCCUACAUGAAGCCAGAUUUCGUAAGCUCUCAGCUUCAUACUAUUGCAUUUGAAGUUCUAGGUUUGGGUGAGAAGAGGGUCAUAUAUUGUGAAGAAGCCAAGAAACAUUUGUUUAAUGAGUUUUGAAAACUGUAUGUUGUUAUUUUGCUAAUAAAACAUUGGAGAAGUUAUU